CCCUGGCAGAUCUGUCAGCUGCAGAGAAAUGAUCCUCAGACAACUGGACAAACCAGAUAUUCACUGACAGAGCAUGUGACUGCACUUAAGAGCUGACUUUUUCACUAGAACAUUGCCAUCCCACCUGGAAGCUCAUCUGCUUUUGAUUGCAACCAGUGAGGAGUUCAUCUAUACAGUGCAG